rnacentral:rRNA from 1 species
GAACUUAAGCAUAUCAAUAAGCGGAGGAAAAGAAACUAACAAGGAUUCCCCUAGUAACUGCGAGUGAAGCGGGAAAAGCUCAAAUUUAAAAUCUGGCGGUCUUUGGCCGUCCGAGUUGUAGUCUGGAGAAGUGCUUUCCGCGCUGGACCGUGUAUAAGUCUCUUGGAACAGAGCGUCAUAGAGGGUGAGAAUCCCGUCUUUGACACGGACUACCAGUGCUUUGUGAUGCGCUCUCAAAGAGUCGAGUUGUUUGGGAAUGCAGCUCAAAAUGGGUGGUGAAUUCCAUCUAAAGCUAAAUAUUGGCGAGAGACCGAUAGCGAACAAGUACCGUGAGGGAAAGAUGAAAAGCACUUUGGAAAGAGAGUUAAACAGUACGUGAAAUUGCUGAAAGGGAAACGCUUGAAGUCAGUCGCGUUGUCCGGAACUCAGCCUUGCUUUUGCUUGGUGCACUUUCCGGAUGACGGGUCAGCAUCGAUUUUGACCGUCGGAAAAGGGCUGGAGUAAUGUGGCACCUCCGGGUGUGUUAUAGACUCUGGUCGCAUACGGCGGUUGGGAUCGAGGAACGCAGCGCGCCGCAAGGCAGGGGUUCGCCCACUUUCGCGCUUAGGAUGCUGGCAUAAUGGCUUUAAACGACCCGUCUUGAAACACGGACCAAGGAGUCUAACAUACCUGCGAGUGUUUGGGUGGAAAACCCGAGCGCGUAAUGAAAGUGAAAGUUGAGACUCCUGUCGUGGGAGGCAUCGACGCCCGGACCUGACGUUCUCUGACGGAUCCGCGGUAGGGCAUGUAUGUUGGGACCCGAAA